CUUAUACUACCACGACUCUGGUGGUGAUUGAACUCUUUUGCCCCAGUGGCCUAACAAGAGUUACUUGGCCAUCGACGCCCAAAUUUACGCCAUGAAAUAGAUCAAGUUGGUUUUUGUCAAGAUGUGCUAAUGGCUGCAUAUAGUUUCGUAACAGAUAUUGAAGCCUUAUUAACACGACGGGGAACUGCAUUUUGAUGACAGGGACUUCUCUUGAAAAAUCGAUGUAUAUCUACAAACAAGAAUCAAAAACAUGUAGCGAGAAUGAAAAAAAGAAAGUGGGGUAUUCCACCGCACUUUUCCCUAAAUCUUCAUGGAAUAAUUAGGAUGUACAGACAUAUAUACAUACAUGAAUAUGAAAAAUUGUUUCAUAACUAUCCAUUCGCAUAUGGCAUCGAACCGCUUCGAUGAAAAAAAAAAAAAAAGAUCAAGAAUAGAAAGCGUAAGACGGUAGAAGGGUC
rnacentral:sRNA from 2 species